GACGAACGCUGGCGGCGUGCUUAACACAUGCAAGUCGAACGGAAAGGCCCUGCUUUUGUGGGGUGCUCGAGUGGCGAACGGGUGAGUAACACGUGAGUAACCUGCCCUUGACUUUGGGAUAACUUCAGGAAACUGGGGCUAAUACCGGAUAGGAGCUCCUGCUGCAUGGUGGGGGUUGGAAAGUUUCGGCGGUUGGGGAUGGACUCGCGGCUUAUCAGCUUGUUGGUGGGGUAGUGGCUUACCAAGGCUUUGACGGGUAGCCGGCCUGAGAGGGUGACCGGCGACAUUGGGACUGAGAGACGGCGCAGACUCCUACGGGAGGCAGCAGUGGGGAGUAUUGCACAAUGGGCGGAAGCCUGAUGCAGCAACGCCGCGUGCGGGAUGACGGCCUUCGGGUUGUAAACCGCUUUCGCCUGUGACGAAGAGUGAGUGACGGUAAUGGGUAAAGAAGCACCGGCUAACUACGUG
rnacentral:rRNA from 1 species